UACAGAGGGUGCGAACGUUGCUCGGAAUUACUGGGCGUAAAGCGCGUGUAGGCGGUCUGUUAAGUUGGUAGUGAAAUCCCAUGGCUCAACCAUGGAAGUGCUGCCAAAACUGGCAGGCUGGAGUGCCGGAGAGGGUGGCGGAAUUCCCAGUGUAGAGGUGAAAUGCGUAGAGAUUAGGAAGAACACCAGUGGCGAAGGCGACUUACUGGACUGUAACUGACGCUGAGGCAUGAAAGCGUGGGGAGCAAACAGG
rnacentral:rRNA from 1 species